rnacentral:RNase_P_RNA from 1 species
GCAGCCGGCCGGUCUGCCGCUUGCGUCUUUGGGCGCAUGAGGAAAGUCCGGGCAACACAGAGCAUCCCACUUCCUAACAGAAAGCUGUCCGCGAGGGUGGAGUAACGCAGAAGAAAAGAACCGCCUGCCGACGGCGUUUUUCCCUUCGGGGAGAAUGCCCGACGCAAGGUAAGGGUGAGAAGGCGGGGUAAGAGCCCACCAGCCUUGUGGUGACACAAGGGCUGUGCGUCUUGGGAGUUGUAAGGUCAUGUAAACCGACGUCAAGAGAGUUGCUCGCUCCAUGUCGGAGGGUAGACCGCUAAAGCCGUCUGGUGACAGACGGACAAGAUAAAUGGCAGGCAUCCCCCUUACGGAGGAAACAGAACCCGGCUUACAGGCCGACUGCUUUU